UACGGAGGGUGCGAGCGUUGUCCGGAAUCACUGGGCGUAAAGCGUGUGUAGGCGGCUUCUCAAGUCGGGUGUGAAAUCCCAGGGCUCAACCCUGGAAGUGCAUUCGAAACUGGGUAGCUAGAGUACUGGAGAGGAAGGUGGAAUGCUUGGUGUAGAGGUGAAAUUCGUAGAUAUCAAGCGGAACACCGGUGGCGAAGGCGGCCUUCUGGACAGAUACUGACGCUGAGACACGAAAGCGUGGGGAGCAAACAGG
rnacentral:rRNA from 1 species